rnacentral:rRNA from 1 species
ACACGACUACAUUACGAUACCCGGGUAGUCCUAGCCGUUAAACGAUACUCGGCUAGGUGUCGGCCACGGUGCGACCGUUGUCGGUGCCGUAGGGAAGCCGUGAAGCGAGCCACCUGGGAAGUACGGCCGCAAGGCUGAACUUAAGGAAUUGGCGGGGGAGCACAACAAUGGGUGGAGCUUGCGGUUUAAUUGGAUUCAACGCCGGAAAUCUUACCGGGACCGACAGCAACAUGAAGGCCAAGCUGAAGACUUUGCCGGAUUAGCUG